GGGCCGUUAGCUCAAUUGGUAGAGCAGCGGACUUUUAAUCCGUUGGUUACUGGUUCGAAUCCGGUACGGCCCA
rnacentral:tRNA from 2 species